rnacentral:rRNA from 1 species
CGGAGGGUGCAAGCGUUGUCCGGAUUCACUGGGUUUAAAGGGUGUGUAGGCGGAUAUUUAAGUCAGUGGUGAAAUCUCCAGGCUCAACCUGGAAACUGCCAUUGAUACUAUUUAUCUUGAAUUCUGUUGAGGGUGGGCGGAAUACAUCAUGUAGCGGUGAAAUGCUUAGAUAUGAUGUAGAACACCGAUUGCGAACGGCAGCUCACUAAGCAGACAUUGACGCUGAGGGCACGAAAGCGUGGGGAUCAAACAGGAUUAGAUACCCUGGUAGUCCACGCCCUAAACGAUGAUUACUCGACAUACGCGAUACACAGUGUGUGUCUGAGCGAAAGCAUUAAGUAAUCCACCUGGGAAGUACGACCGCAAGGUUG